UACGAAGGGGGCUAGCGUUGCUCGGAAUUACUGGGCGUAAAGCGCACGUAGGCGGCUUUCUAAGUCGGGGGUGAAAUCCUGGAGCUCAACUCCAGAACUGCCUUCGAUACUGGAAAGCUCGAGUCCGGGAGAGGUGAGUGGAACUGCAAGUGUAGAGGUGAAAUUCGUAGAUAUUCGCAAGAACACCAGUGGCGAAGGCGGCUCACUGGCCCGGUACUGACGCUGAGGUGCGAAAGCGUGGGGAGCAAACAGG
rnacentral:rRNA from 1 species